GACGAACGCUGGCGGCGUGCCUAAUACAUGCAAGUCGAGCGAAUCAAUGGGAGCUUGCUCCCUGAGAUUAGCGGCGGACGGGUGAGUAACACGUGGGUAACCUGCCUGUAAGACUGGGAUAACUUCGGGAAACCGGAGCUAAUACCGGAUACUUUCUUUUCUCGCAUGAGGGAAGAUGGAAAGAUGGUUCUGCUAUCACUUACAGAUGGACCCGCGGCGCAUUAGCUAGUUGGUGAGGUAACGGCUCACCAAGGCAACGAUGCGUAGCCGACCUGAGAGGGUGAUCGGCCACACUGGGACUGAGACACGGCCCAGACUCCUACGGGAGGCAGCAGUAGGGAAUCUUCCGCAAUGGACGAAAGUCUGACGGAGCAACGCCGCGUGAGCGAAGAAGGCCUUCGGGUCGUAAAGCUCUGUUGUUAGGGAAGAACAAGUACGAGAGUAACUGCUCGUACCUUGACGGUACCUAACCAGAAAGCCACGGCUAACUUCGUGCCAGCAGCCGCCGUAAAAC
rnacentral:rRNA from 1 species